rnacentral:rRNA from 1 species
CACGUGGGUAACCUGCCCAUCAGAAGGGGAUAACACUUGGAAACAGGUGCUAAUACCGUAUAACAAUCGAAACCGCAUGGUUUUGAUUUGAAAGGCGCUUUCGGGUGUCGCUGAUGGAUGGACCCGCGGUGCAUUAGCUAGUUGGUGAGGUAACGGCUCACCAAGGCCACGAUGCAUAGCCGACCUGAGAGGGUGAUCGGCCACAUUGGGACUGAGACACGGCCCAAACUCCUACGGGAGGCAGCAGUAGGGAAUCUUCGGCAAUGGACGAAAGUCUGACCGAGCAACGCCGCGUGAGUGAAGAAGGUUUUCGGAUCGUAAAACUCUGUUGUUAGAGAAGAACAAGGAUGAGAGUAACUGUUCAUCCCUUGACGGUAUCUAACCAGAAAGCCACGGCUAACUACGUGCCAGCAGCCGCGGUAAUACGUAGGUGGCAAGCGUUGUCCGGAUUUAUUGGGCGUAAAGCGAGCGCAGGCGGUUUCUUAAGUCUGAUGUGAAAGCCCCCGGCUCAACCGGGGAGGGUCAUUGGAAACUGGGAGACUUGAGUGCAGAAGAGGAGAGUGGAAUUCCAUGUGUAGCGGUGAAAUGCGUAGAUAUAUGGAGGAACACCAGUGGCGAAGGCGGCUCUCUGGUCUGUAACUGACGCUGAGGCUCGAAAGCGUGGGGAGCAAACAGGAUUAGAUACCCUGGUAGUCCACGCCGUAAACGAUGAGUGCUAAGUGUUGGAGGGUUUCCGCCCUUCAGUGCUGCAGCUAACGCAUUAAGCACUCCGCCUGGGGAGUACGACCGCAAGGUUGAAACUCAAAGGAAUUGACGGGGGCCCGCACAAGCGGUGGAGCAUGUGGUUUAAUUCGAAGCAACGCGAAGAACCUUACCAGGUCUUGACAUCCUUUGACCACUCUAGAGAUAGAGCUUCCCCUUCGGGGGCAAAGUGACAGGUGGUGCAUGGUUGUCGUCAGCUCGUGUCGUGAGAUGUUGGGUUAAGUCCCGCAACGAGCGCAACCC